CACGUAGGGCGCAAGCGUGUCCGGAAUUAUUGGGCGUAAAGAGCUCGUAGGCGGACUGUCACGUCCGCUGUGAAAAGCUAGGGCUUAACCCUGGCCUUGCAGUGGAUACGGGCAGACUAGAGGUAGGUAGGGGAGAAUGGAAUUCCCGGUGUAGCGGUGAAAUGCGCAGAUAUCGGGAGGAACACCGGUGGCGAAGGCGGUUCUCUGGGGCCUUACCUGACGCUGAGGAGCGAAAGCGUGGGGAGCGAACAGGAUAGAU
rnacentral:rRNA from 1 species